CGCACUGUGGCGGAAUACGUACACGGCAGAGGUGGGUGGUGGCCCAUGUUGGCGAGUUAGAAUAUGCAGAUUUAACGUGCCGUUGACGAGAUGAGCCGCGGAUCGGAAUCGGCAUAUCCGUCUGAUCCGUGGAACAGGAACUUCACUUUCCGUUUGGUGGGCGCAGGGAGUAAUUGAAUGCAGGGUUGAGUGUCUUCUCUACCGCGGCAUAGAGAGGAGAAGCGUCGACGGCGAGCCGCCAUGGAGUAUCUGAUGCAGCCAAUCGGAAGAUCCGCUCUGCUAGAAGAAGUAGGAGAGAGCUUGGUGCCGGCCCCUGCGCCUGCGAAUGUCGGUAUGGUGGUGGAGCAAGAGGUGGCGGAGCAGCAACGGCCGGUGGGUAGCGCGGACGCGCAGAUUAUGGUGGCGAAGGAAGCGGCGGCGGACAGGAGGGAGAGCUCGCCUCCGACGUCAGAGCUCUCAAUUGGGAAGAUAAUCCCCGGGCGUCCGGAUGGAACAAGAGGAUGAGGAUUGGUGUUGCAACACUGAGCAGAACCCCUCGCCCAAAUCUCAUCAGUGCAUUGAGAAGGCUGUUAGGUGUUAUGCUGACAACCCAGGUGAAAAUGUCAUCAUACCAGUUCUUGGGACUUCUUUUGACUCUUUCGGCAAGGCAUACAACUUGUACAAUCUGUACUCAUGUGAGAAGGGCUUUGACAUCCGAUAUGGAAAGAGCCGGCUUAAUGUCGAGAGGACGAAAUGCAUGCAGGAAUAGUGUUUGGCUAUUCGGUGAGUACAAAAUUUGUCUUGCCUCCUGAGCAGAGACGAGAGCUCAAUGGUCAAAAAGGUUUGUUCCUCGAUUGAAUAAGUUAGUACUUUCUUGUUAUUCUGUUGUAGUAUCUGAAUUGCAUGACUCUCUAUCUGCUUACCUGAAUAAUUGGUUAUUGACAUCACUAGACUUGAAUGCAGACUCGUGGCUGUGAUUUUGUUCUCUCUAGUUAGACACAUAGAAUUAGUUAUGACUUAUAAUUUAAAUAACAGGUUCGAUUGAGCUAGAUUUGGCAAUGGAUGUACUAUCUGAAUUUCAUGUCUCUCUGACUGCUUACCUGAAUAAUUGGACAUUGGCGCCAGUAGACAUGAGUGCAGCCUCAUGGCUUUUAUUUUCUUCUUUGUGGUUAGACAUACAGAGUUAGUUCUGACUUAAAUAAAAAGCGAACUCGAUUGUGCUGGUUGUUGCAAAUGUAUUCGUUCUUGCAUGUGCUGAGUAGUACAGGCUUUUGGUGUCGGCCACAAAUUUGCAUCUAGUAGAAAUAUGAUGUGCUGACUAUCUAGGUAAUCAUCGGAUUCCUGAAAUUUUCAUAGUUUUCCAGAAAUAUAAGUAUAAUUAUCUUACAUGUGGAAGUAAAUGUUUUUUUGAAACAUGUUAGUGCAACUGUAAAAUGUGGGUGUCGGAUGGACUGAGACCUGCACUGAAAUACACAGCACUCUCAAGGUGUUUGCAUUACAGUAGAAGGAAUGAGCAGUAACGGAGCCCACAUCAACGCCGGCCUAUCCUCAAUGGAUGGCGUUGCUUUUUAUUACUUGUCGGAUGUGGGCCAUUUGGCUCUGAAAGCUGACAAGAUACAUAUACAACCUAUACUAGCUGGGUUGGUGAUCUCGGAGCUAACAGAGAGGGGUGGGAUAACAAUCACAUUUGUGCUCGAGUGCAGAAUAGAACUUAAUUUGGUUAUGCGUGGUUUGUGAUAUUUAGUGGAUAUGGGCUGUGGAAUCUUCUGCUUUCGUGGCCUUGCUCGAAUAGCAUUUUCAGAAGCGACUGGCUGGAGUAAACUAUAGUUAACAGAUGUUAGGUAAAAAAUCAACUAUGUAUGGGGGGUAUGUCAAAUCUAGGUACCUGCUGGACAUAAUCUAAUUUAGGAAUGGUUAUUAGCCUUGAAUGUAUUGAGAGGAACCAUAGUAAACCAUAUGUCUGAAGAUUAGGUUAUAGUUUCCGAAUUAAAAUUCUAACUGUCAUCAUAGUGGUUGAAGCAAAUAAGUUGAAGCUGCACUCCGGAGUGGAGACAGUGCAUAGUGAAAUAAGAAAACUGAUUGAAUUAGUCAAUUUGUAAAAGGAAUUUAGUCUGGUUUGCGUUUGUCUUACUGAAUAUUAAACAGUGACUUGAGAACUCACUUUUAAAUAGAAGAUUAUGCAUAGUAGUAAUUGUAAAAUUAAUCAAAAAAUAUAUGUUUUGUGGCAUGGGGUUGUAUGUAAAAUUGAUUCUGUACAAAAUGCUUAGAUCAGAUGGAAAAUGGGAAAAAAAUACGUAACACUGCAUAAAAACUAUGUGCUUUUUUUAAACCGUGAAUGACCGUAGGAGAAUCUCAUAUAGUCUUUGUAUUAAGGAGUUAGUAAAUUCCUGUCAGCCAGGGGGUAGGGUUAAAAUGACUAUGAUCCUAGCUAGAAGGUACCACGAGAGAGAGAGAGAGAAGAUCAGAACCGUGCAAUGAAAAGUUGCAACAAAAAUGUAAUGCCUCAGAUGGCUCAUCGUUGGUGCAAGUGGCACGUGCUAAAGAAAGCAAAGGAGUCGCUGGGCUCAUUUUAGAGUAAGAACAAUGACUUCCAAGCAGAGUUCCACAAGAUAGGGAAUCACAUGCUAACCAUCGAUGAAUUUGAGGAGGCUUGGAGGUUCCUGGUUGAAAAGUGUAAUCUGAAGAAGCACGCAUACAUGACAUAAUUGUAUGAGAUCAGGGACAAAUGGGUGAAGCCUUAUUUGAACGGGGUUUUCUGUGCUAAGAUGACUAGUACUCAGCGAAGUGAAAGUACGAACCACAUGCUGAAGAACUACGUUCCGCCGGGUUGCCCUAUGCAUAUGUUUGUGAAUCUAUAUGAGACUUCAAUUUGACCGGGAAGCGGAGGAAAACUAUGAAGAGAAGAAGACAAGAAUAGGUAGACCGCUACAUAGAGCGAACCUGAUCAUCGAGAGACAUGUUGGCAAAAUAUACACUCGAGCUAUGGUCGAGCAGUUCAGUUCAGCCACAUCUGUAUGAGUGUGGUGCAUACCAAGUGGAAGAGAUCAAUAGGCAAAAUGUAUGUUGCAGUUCAGACGGAAGCUGAGCGGAGAGAGAACUGGUGGAGAGUUUCUUACAGUUAUGGAUGGGGGUGACGAGUUUGAUUGCGAGUGUGGACUUUGCAGCCAUGUGUUGAAGGUGCUGGACUUCAUCCGCAUGAAUCAGAUACAUGUGAAGCAUAUACUGAAAAGGCGGACCAAAGAUGCCCGGGAUGUACUGGCUCACCAUCUGUGUCACUAUCAGAAAAAUCUGCAUAAUAAUCCUUUCUCAUACAGACACUUCAACCUGUACAUGCAAGCCAUGGAGCUCUUUUGGCUUGGAGACACAAGCAUGGAUGCAUACGAAAGGUUGAUGGUAUGGGUCUGGGAGACAUGACGGCCAAUAAUGGUUCUCAACCAGAUUGAAACAAUAGGACGCGAACCUGAUGAUCGGAGCAAAUGGUAGCAGGCCACUACCACUAGUGUUGACAACAAUUUUGCAUCCAUCUCAAGCAACAGGCUGUUGGGUCUAUCAGCACCAGCAAAGAGGAAGGAGAGCGGUCGGCAAACCACCAGUCGAAAGAAGGCUCCAUAUGAAGGGCUGAGUAAGAGGACAUGAUUCUGCACCAUUUGCUGUCGUCAGAGACAUAAGAGAACUACAUGUUCUGAUAGAGGUGGUGAACCGAAACAGCCACGGAAGCCAAACAUAUGAAAUUGAGGUUAGCAGCUGGCUGAUACAGAUUUUACUGGUGUCCAACAAACAUUUCGUAACUUAUUGUCGAUGGGGUGAUAGCAGUGUGGUUUUUGGUCCCGUUUGAUAUUUGAGUUAUGCUCUGUUGAUGCAGGUUACCACUUUUUGAGUAGUAGUGUUCAUCUUAGUCUUGGUGCCCAGUUGUGUGUGGACUGUCAGUUAGUUUACUACCAGUCUGCAAUGGAAAAUGUGUUGAUGCAGGUUGCCAUUGUAUGAGUAUUGGUGUUCAGGUUUCGGUUGGUGUCAAAUGCGUACUGUGUGGAUUGUACUCACUUAGUUCAUCAAUACCCAGUGGAAUGCUGAACCUUUUUACUGAA